GUAAGGAAUAUUGGACAAUGGACGCAAGUCUGAUCCAGCCAUGCCGCGUGAAGGAUUAAGGUCCUCUGGAUUGUAAACUUCUUUUAUAAGGGACGAAAAAAGGCUUUUCUAAGUCGUCUGACGGUACCUUAUGAAUAAGCACCGGCUAACUCCGUGCCAGCAGCCGCGGUAAUACGGAGGGUGCAAGCGUUAUCCGGAUUCACUGGGUUUAAAGGGUGCGUAGGCGGGCAGGUAAGUCAGUGGUGAAAUCCUAGAGCUUAACUCUAGAACUGCCAUUGAUACUAUCUGUCUUGAAUAUUGUGGAGGUAAGCGGAAUAUGUCAUGUAGCGGUGAAAUGCUUAGAUAUGACAUAGAACACCUAUUGCGAAGGCAGCUUACUACGCAUAUAUUGACGCUGAGGCACGAAAGCGUGGGGAUCAAACAGGAUUAGAAACCCCGGUAGUC
rnacentral:rRNA from 1 species